GACGAACGCUGGCGGCGUGCUUAACACAUGCAAGUCGAACGCUGAAGCUUGGUGCUUGCACUGGGUGGAUGAGUGGCGAACGGGUGAGUAAUACGUGAGUAACCUGCCAUUGACUCUGGGAUAAGCCUGGGAAACUGGGUCUAAUACUGGAUACGACAUGUCACCGCAUGGUGGUGUGUGGAAAGGGUUUUACUGGUUUUGGAUGGGCUCACGGCCUAUCAGCUUGUUGGUGGGGUAAUGGCUCACCAAGGCGACGACGGGUAGCCGGCCUGAGAGGGUGACCGGCCACACUGGGACUGAGACACGGCCCAGACUCCUACGGGAGGCAGCUGUGGGGAAUAUUGCACAAUGGGCGAAAGCCUGAUGCAGCGACGCCGCGUGAGGGAUGACGGCCUUCGGGUUGUAAACCUCUUUCAGCACGGAAGAAGCGAAAGUGACGGUACGUGCAGAAGAAGCGCCGGCUAACUACGUG
rnacentral:rRNA from 1 species